rnacentral:rRNA from 1 species
CCUACGGGAGGCUGCAGUGGGGGAUAUUGCACAAUGGGGGAAACCCUGAUGCAGCGACGCCGCGUGGGCGAAGAAGUAUUUCGGUAUGUAAAGCCCUAUCAGCAGGGAAGAAGAAAUGACGGUACCUGAGUAAGAAGCACCGGCUAAAUACGUGCCAGCAGCCGCGGUAAUACGUAUGGUGCAAGCGUUAUCCGGAUUUACUGGGUGUAAAGGGAGCGCAGGCGGCACGGCAAGCCUGAUGUGAAAGCCCGCGGCCCAACCGCGGGACUGCAUUGGGAACUACCGGGCUGGAGUGCCGGAGAGGUAGGCGGAAUUCCUAGUGUAGCGGUGAAAUGCGUAGAUAUUAGGAGGAACACCAGUGGCGAAGGCGGCUUACUGGACUGUAACUGACGUUGAGGCUCGAAAGCGUGGGGAGCAAACAGGAUUAGAUACCCGAGUAGUC